CCUACGGGCGGCAGCAGUGGGGAAUAUUGGACAAUGGGGGGAACCCUGAUCCAGCUAUGUCGCGUGUGUGAAGAAGGCCCUCGGGUUGUAAAGCACUUUCAGUGAGGAAGAACGCCUGGUGGUUAAUACCCAUCAGGAAAGACAUCACUCACAGAAGAAGCACCGGCUAACUCCGUGCCAGCAGCCGCGGUAAUACGGAGGGUGCGAGCGUUAAUCGGAAUUACUGGGCGUAAAGCGCGCGUAGGUGGCUUGAUAAGCCGGUUGUGAAAGCCCCGGGCUCAACCUGGGAACGGCAUCCGGAACUGUCAAGCUAGAGUGCAGGAGAGGAAGGUAGAAUUCCCGGUGUAGCGGUGAAAUGCGUAGAGAUCGGGAGGAAUACCAGUGGCGAAGGCGGCCUUCUGGACUGACACUGACACUGAGGUGCGAAAGCGUGGGUAGCAAACAGGAUUAGAUACCCUUGUAGUC
rnacentral:rRNA from 1 species